rnacentral:rRNA from 1 species
GUGGGCGGGGGGGCUUAAAAUGCAGUCGAACGAUGACCCGGUGCUUGCACUGGUGAUUAGUGGCGAACGGGUGAGUAACACGUGAGUAACCUGCCCUUAACUCUGGGAUAAGCCUGGGAAACUGGGUCUAAUACCGGAUAUGACUCCUCAUCGCAUGGUGGGGGGUGGAAAGCUUUAUUGUGGUUUUGGAUGGACUCGCGGCCUAUCAGCUUGUUGGUGAGGUAAUGGCUCACCAAGGCGACGACGGGUAGCCGGCCUGAGAGGGUGACCGGCCACACUGGGACUGAGACACGGCCCAGACUCCUACGGGAGGCAGCAGUGGGGAAUAUUGCACAAUGGGCGAAAGCCUGAUGCAGCGACGCCGCGUGAGGGAUGACGGCCUUCGGGUUGUAAACCUCUUUCAGUAGGGAAGAAGCGAAAGUGACGGUACCUGCAGAAGAAGCGCCGGCUAACUACGUGCCAGCAGCCGCGGUAAUACGUAGGGCGCAAGCGUUAUCCGGAAUUAUUGGGCGUAAAGAGCUCGUAGGCGGUUUGUCGCGUCUGCCGUGAAAGUCCGGGGCUCAACUCCGGAUCUGCGGUGGGUACGGGCAGACUAGAGUGAUGUAGGGGAGACUGGAAUUCCUGGUGUAGCGGUGAAAUGCGCAGAUAUCAGGAGGAACACCGAUGGCGAAGGCAGGUCUCUGGGCAUUAACUGACGCUGAGGAGCGAAAGCAUGGGGAGCGAACAGGAUUAGAUACCCUGGUAGUCCAUGCCGUAAACGUUGGGCACUAUGUGUGGGGGACAUUCCACGUUUUCCGCGCCGUAGCUAACGCAUUAAGUGCCCCGCCUGGGGGAGUACGGCCGCAAGGCUUAAAACUCAAAGGAAAUUGAA